rfam:TPA: Bos taurus chromosome 5, whole genome shotgun sequence.
UUCCUGGUGGUCCAAUGGCUAAGACUCUGCUUUCCCAAUGCAGAGGUCUCAGGUUCAAAUCCUGAUCAGGGGA